GCCAUGCUUCUAGGCGUCGCCCAAGGAUGGGGCCGCGGCCGAUCAGGUUGCUGGUGAGGUAACGGCUCACCAAGCCUAUAACCGGUACGGGCCGUGAGAGCGGGAGCCCGGAGAUGGGCACUGAGACAAGGGCCCAGGCCCUACGGGGCGCAGCAGUUGCGAAAACUCCGCAAUACGCGAAAGCGUGACGGGGCUACCCCGAGUGCCGUCCGCUGAGGAUGGCUUUUCCACGGUGUAAGGAGCCGUGGGAAUAAGGAGAGGGCAAGCCUGGUGUCAGCCGCCGCGGUAAUACCAGCUCUCCGAGUGGUGGGGACGAUUAUUGGGCUUAAAGCGUUCGUAGCCGGCUCAGCAAGUCUUCCGUUAAAUCCAACGAUCUAAUCGUUGGGCUGCGGGAGAUACUGUUGGGCUAGGGGGCGGGAGAAGCCGACGGUAUCCUCGGGGUAGGGGUGAAAUCCUAUAAUCCCGGGAAGACCACCAGUGGCGAAGGCGGUCGGCUAGAACGCGCCCGACGGUGAGGGACGAAAGCUGGGGGAGCGAACCGGAUUAGAUACCCGGGUAGUCCCAGCCGUAAACGAUGCGGGCUAGGUGUUGGGGCGGUCACGAACCGCCUCAGUGCCGCACGGAAGCAAUUAAGCCCGCCGCCUGGGGAGUACGGUCGCAAGGCUGAAACUUAAAGGAAUUGGCGGGGGA
rnacentral:rRNA from 1 species